ensembl:processed_transcript 5830418P13Rik RIKEN cDNA 5830418P13 gene
GUGAGUCAGAAGCGGCAGAAACGGAACCUCAGUAAAGAUACCACGCCCUGCUGGUAUGUCACUCAGCUAGAAGAAAGUCGACAGGAAGCCUCUUCAAAAUGUUUGAGAGACACUGGCUGCUCUUCUGAGGACCUAGAUUCAACUCCAGCACCCAUGUGGUAGCGUACAACUAUCUAACUCCUGCCCCUUCUUCCGAUCUCCACGUGUAUGACACAGCAGGGCGUGGUAGGAUGCCACAUCCUUCUGUAGCUGGCUCUUGCACGCCAGCAGGUGUGCCCGCUCCUGCUGCUGCUGUUCUGUCUCUGAGCGGAUCUCUGCCAGCUCUGCCUCCAGCCUGCCCACCACGGCACCCAGGUUCUGCAGUUCCAUGUCAUGCCAGUGCUGGGCGUCGUGCAAGCUGUUUUCCAGGCCUCGUUUCUACAAAAGAGUGAAGGUUAUCGGCUUGGGCGGUCCAGACAGGGUCUCACUGUAUAGCUCUGGCCACUUACUCUGUAGACCAGACUGGCUUCGAACUCACAGAGCUCCCUCUGCCUGCCAAGCUGCUGGGA